rnacentral:rRNA from 1 species
GAGUUUGAUCGUGGCUCAGAUUGAACGCUGGCGGCAUGCCUUACACAUGCAAGUCGAACGGCAGCACGGGAGCUUGCUCCUGGUGGCGAGUGGCGAACGGGUGAGUAAUGCAUCGGAACGUAUCCUGGAGUGGGGGAUAACGUAGCGAAAGUUACGCUAAUACCGCAUAUUCUGUGAGCAGGAAAGCGGGGGACCUUCGGGCCUCGCGCUCUUGGAGCGGCCGAUGUCGGAUUAGCUAGUUGGUGAGGUAAAGGCUCACCAAGGCGACGAUCCGUAGCAGGUCUGAGAGGAUGAUCUGCCACACUGGAACUGAGACACGGUCCAGACUCCUACGGGGGGCAGCAAUGGGGAAUUUUGGACAAUGGGGGCAACCCUGAUCCAGCCAUGCCGCGUGAGUGAAGAA